ensembl:lncRNA
CCUGUUGCAAUAUAAGCUGUGAAUAAGUAGCUGCCACCUGGGCAUUCCCAAGGAAAAUACGUCCAUGGUCAUCUGAAAGGCCAUGAGGAUAAUCCUAGUGAGAAUAAAUGAAAGAGAACUUUGUUUUUUGCAUUUGGUUGUAUGUUGCAGACAUUCAGAAGAGGACUUAUCGUGGCAAAAGAAAACAUUCUGUCCUUGAGGGGAUCUCAGAAUAGCACAACGUGUUCAAUAAGGCUUUGAAAGAAAACAAAGAGCUGAAGGCCAGAGCUGACUCCUUCAGACAAGAGUAUAAAAUGCAGGACUCAAAGUACUUAAAAUACUUCAGUGACAAGCAACAAAGAAAUGCCUGUUACUAUAAUUGCCUGCAUUAAGUAAAGAGCCAGAAAAUCUUGAGAACUUUUAAAAAAGUAGAUAUUUGAUGUGUAGGGAGUGUAAGAACAAAAUUCUCUCGGGCCAUGGCCGGAGCCCUGAAUCAGCAGAACUCUUUUCCUUGAAGAAAGUGAAAAUCAGAGGAGGCCUGGCUGUUGGAGAAUCCUCCACUGUGGCACACUGUGUGCAGAUACACCCCAGUCCAAGAGGAACUAGACACAGACCACCAGCAAUACAGACCAACCACCAGCAAUACAGACCAUUCGUUAUAUCUUUUUUUUUUUUUUUUUUUUUUUUUUCAGUAGCUAUUAAUUUGGGAUGCAUUUCAACUAGUGGCCUCGACUGGAAAAGUACCAGAUCCCAUGCUGUGUAUCUCGAGGGUACCCUGUCUCAUUAAUAAGCACCUUCAUUCCAGAGUAUUGUCUGUUUAUUUUGGAAGGUUUUCCUCCCCUCCCUGAAAAAACAGAGAUGAAUUGGGAUAAAUACAGGCAGGAAAUGGUCUCCCUAGCAACACUAAGAAUACAUAAGAACAACCUCAUCAUUCACUUUUCUUCCUUAGAUACACUUUUAAAAGAAGUUUGAGCUACCCUAAAAGACAUCUCCUGUUCGCAGUACAACACCCAAGUCAACAGAAUUAAUCAGCCCUGAUUUCACUUUCAGUGAGAAGGGAACUAAGUCCCUUUAAAAAAAACAGGGACAUAAGGUCUUAGAUUCCAGGGAAAGAAAGCUGAGUCAAAAGAGGAGUUCAUUCAGAUUCAACGCUGCUCAAAAGAAAGCGGCUUUAUGUAACGUUCAGCUUUGCUGAAAUGUAACUUACAUUAACAAACUUCCAGCAUGCCCUGUUCAGAGAGCCUUAGGUUUUGAUAAAGUCUGGGUUCAGCUGUCUACGGGCAAAAUCUAAUCUAGUUGUGUAACAAUGCCAGAAAGGAAAUCAGAAAACUUGUUUCUGAGAGUUUAUUGGGGGAGACAUCAAAGCGUGGUGCUGCAUAAUUCCUACUCCCGUCACGUUGCACUAACACAGCCCCCUCACUCCUGAUCCACUUGCUGUGCCUGCCAGCUUCUGAAUGCACUGUGAGGUGCAUGAGAGACAUUUCAGCAGCUGAGAGGGCUGAGAGGGCUUUUCACCUGGAACAGUGUGUCCAGCCUAAGAGGUGAGGGGAAACUUCACUGGGCUCAUCCUCCUCAUCCAAUUUUCUCUACAGUCUGUGGGCAGGAGGGGUUGGCCCUCAGAGGAAGCCAGUAGGUGAACCCAAUUUCAGGCUAACCCUGCCAGAUUUCUACCUCCAGACCGCAUGGGAGAAACCCCUCGCUGCAGUUUGAGAGCAUGCCCUGGCUCUACCAUAUUCAAGGAGGAGCAUUAAAAAUGCAUUGUCAGCCCUAGAAGGAAACCUUAUCAUUGCUGUGCAGCCCGGACACCAUGCGUUACCAAUAGGGCAUAUAGGAGGUGCUUCUAUUGCCAUGGGGCUGUGCUGUACUUGUGGUGCUUGGGAAGGGUGUAUUUGGUGCCUUCGGUGUUGUGUGGCUGGUGUUAGAAGCAGAAAACUCAAGCACAACUGGAUAAAGAAUAGUUCUAAGAAGGGCAGGGGAUCAUUCUGAAGAUUUCACAGGAAAACAAGAAUUAGAAUCAAAAUAAAGAAAACUGAGAGGAAAGAUAACAAAAAAAAAAAAAAAAAAGAAAGUGAACACUGCAACCCUCCCAAAGCCAGAACAGCUUUCUAUCCAUGCAUGAGCAUCCCGGCUGGAGCGCAACCAAGCUGCUUCCAUCAGACCUGCACACCUCCCAGGUGGCUGUUGCGGUGGCUGCACACACACCAGAGGACUGCUGAAGGAGAGCGGAACAAAUGCCAUUUGCAAUUCAAGUGCCUUUAGACCCCAGAUGCUGCUGCCUCACAACCACUCUUCUGCAACCUUGAUGAAGGAUGGUAAUUAUCCCUCCAGUACUGGUGACCAGCACAGGCCCGGCCCUAAUCUCUUGCUGAUGCGGGCGACAGACCUGCUCAAGGACACAGAGGCACAGGUUGGUGCCAGGCCAUUGAAAUGACACCGAGUCAGGCUGGAUUUGACUCAUACUCCUGGUCCUGCAUGCUAGAAUAAAUAUCUGCAGCUCUGGCAUGACAGAGAUGGGGCUUCAGAACCUUCCCAUCUUGUACUGGGGCUUGCUCAAUAUUGGGCUCCCCUCUUGGCAGCCAGGAGAACCCCAGAGCCACCUCAAGCUUUCCGAUCCACUUCUUUUAACCUGGCACUCAACUAUAAACAGCUGCCGGUGGCACACACGGUAUAUUAAGCUUCUGGAGAAAUGAACUAGUUUUCAUCAACAGCCCAGCCAUCCUCUUGCUGUUUCCAGCCACUGCUAUUGCCUUGGAUCUCCAGACGCUGACCUAGCCUCUGCUUGGCAUUCAAGUUGUAACACCUUUGACACUAACAACCCAC